GGGGAAAACUGGGGAAUUUCCAAAAUUGCUAGGGGUUCAAGUCCCCUAUUCUUGCGCUUUUUUGGCUACCGGUAAAUUAAGUUAGGGCUAGAAAUCUGGACAGAGCAGUUCGAGUCUGGUCUGUUAAAUUGGUCGCAAAAAACCUGAAGGUUUGCCCGUUCGAGUCGGUUAUGGAAAAUUUUCGAAAUUUGUAGGAGCGACAAGGCCUAAAAAAUCUGUGCAGUUGUAAUUAAAGACGUCUGUAAUAUAAAAUAUGAGAUCUAUGAGUAAGAUCAGUCUCUGUGUCAGUCAUGCACAGCCGGAUGUGCACGGAUGGUGUGUAAAUGCAAAUGAGCAGCAGUGACGCGCAGAGAGGGUGGUUUCAGUUUUCGAGAGGACUGAGCUUUUUGCUAAAUGCCUGUAUAUAAGAGCAGGCCUGGAAGAGAGUGAACGGACGGCGUUGACAAAAUUACCAAGUACGAAAAUCAGGUUUUCAGGGCUGAAGCAAAACACCGGAGAGGAGAAUUGCUGAGCUGUUCUGAGAAAUGAAAUGACUAACCUUUUU
ensembl:lncRNA